rnacentral:rRNA from 1 species
UACCGGCGGCUCGAGUGGUGGCCACUAUUACUGGGCUUAAAGCGUUCGUAGCUGGGUUGUUAAGUCUCUUGGGAAAUCUACCGGCUUAACCGAUAGGCGUCCAAGGGAUACUGGCAAUCUAGGGACCGGGAGAGGUGAGGGGUACUUCAGGGGUAGGAGUGAAAUCCUGUAAUCCUUGGGGGACCACCUGUGGCGUAGGCGCCUCACCAGAACGGCUCCGACAGUGAGGGACGAAAGCUGGGGGAGCAAACCGG